CGCCAGCCCGCUCAGAAACUUAAAGGAAUUGACGGGGGCCCGCACAAGCGGUGGAGCAUGUGGUUUAAUUCGAUGGUACGCGAGGAACCUUACCAGGGCUUGACAUACGUUGGAAGCGCAUCGAAAGGUGCGUGCCGCUUGCGGCCGGCGUACAGGUGCUGCAUGGCUGUCGUCAGCUCGUGCUGUGAAGUGUUGGGUUAAGUCCCGCAACGAGCGCAAUCCCUGCUGCCUGUUGCCACCACGAGAGGUGGGGACUCAGGCGGGACCGCCGGUGACAAACCGGAGGAAGGUGGGGACGACGUCAAGUCAUCAUGGCCCUUAUGUCCUGGGCUACACACGUGCUACAAUGGCCGGUACAGAGCGCAGCGAGGCCGCGAGGCGGAGCGAAUCGCUUAAAGCCGGUCCCAGUACGGAUUGGAGUCUGCAACCCGACUCCAUGAAGUUGGAAUCGCUAGUAAUCGCGCAUCAGCAUGGCGCGGUGAAUACGUUCCCGGGCCUU
rnacentral:rRNA from 1 species